rnacentral:rRNA from 1 species
GUGGGGAAUCUUGCGCAAUGGGCGAAAGCCUGACGCAGCCAUGCCGCGUGAAUGAUGAAGGUCUUAGGAUUGUAAAAUUCUUUCACCGGGGACGAUAAUGACGGUACCCGGAGAAGAAGCUCCGGCUAACUUCGUGACAGCAGCCGCGGUAAUACGAAGGGGGCUAGCGUUGCUCGGAAUUACUGGGCGUAAAGGGCGCGUAGGCGGACAUUUAAGUCAGGGGUGAAAUCCCGGGGCUCAACCUCGGAACUGCCUUUGAUACUGGGUGUCUUGAGUAUGAGAGAGGUGUGUGGAACUCCGAGUGUAGAGGUGAAAUUCGUAGAUAUUCGGAAGAACACCAGUGGCGAAGGCGACACACUGGCUCAUUACUGACGCUGAGGCGCGAAAGCGUGGGGAGCAAACAGGAUUAGAUACCCUAGUAGUCC